AUAUGUGUAAUAUAAUGGCGAGGUGGUGAUUGCGGAAUUUAUGUACAUAUACGUAUAGAUGUAUAUAUAACAGAGCGGUGCAGAGCAGCAGCAGCAGCAGCACUAGCCAACCAGCCACUGGCUGCCAUUACCCAUUUGCUAGUACAUAAUGCCAGGUGCUACCUCGUACACAUUUCUCUUCAAUGAAUUUUUUCAAAUAAAUGUAUGGGUGAUUCCACAGGAAUAGUGAUAUCUAUGGCAGUACGAUCGUAGCACAUUGGUAGAAUCUUGUAGAAAGAUAUUGAUGUAAUCCGAGUGGACUAAUUUUCAGGUACCUAUGACAAUCAGGAUGGCAUCUGGAGCACAUGUUCAGAGAGUCAUGCAGAACUCGUGGAGGCCAUAAUGAGCGGUGGAAACAUAUCCUUGCCAAUAUUUUUUAUAUUAAAAUAAUUUAUUUACUUUCAUACAAUUGAUAUACACGUUUAACACUUGAACGUCACAUCAAAAUUCAUUGAAUCUUUCCUCAUCAAGCAAAAAUACCAAUAAUACGCAAUAUUUAAUAGACUCUGUUACACAUUAGCAUACAUUUUUAUGUAAUCUGACGAAUGUAUUUCAGCUGCAGAAUUAUUCUCAAUUGUCUGUACAGUAUAAUGUCGUUGAAUGUUUAAGGAAAUUCCUUACUUAUUUUUUU